rnacentral:rRNA from 1 species
AUUAUCCUACGGGGGGCAGCAGUGAGGAAUAUUGGUCAAUGGACGCAAGUCUGAACCAGCCAAGUAGCGUGCAGGAUGACGGCCCUACGGGUUGUAAACUUCUUUUGUCAGGGAGCAAUUGGGUCCACGCGUGGGCUUAGCGAGAGUACCUGAAGAAAAAGCAUCGGCUAACUCCGUGCCAGCAGCCGCGGUAAUACGGAGGAUGCGAGCGUUAUCCGGAUUUAUUGGGUUUAAAGGGUGCGUAGGCGGAAUAUCAAGUCAGCGGUAAAAAUGCGGGGCUCAACCCCGUCGUGCCGUUGAAACUG